CAAGUAAACCACAACAGACAGGCUACAAACAAUUGCAUUAUGGGAACACUUUCUUUGAAACCACAUCCUUCAGUUGAACCGGUAUCAUCCAAGAGACAUGGACUCACGGUUUGGUUCUGUGCAAAGUGCCAAGAUGUCAGUUGUGGGACAAGAGGAAUGGAAAAAUAGCGCACUGACAUGUUCCAGCACAUUUGAAAGAAUUUGUUCGUGAAUCUAAAGCAUCUUGACAUGACUGGCCGAAUACGAGGCCAAAUUAUCAUCAUGUAUCAUGAAGGGUAACAGGCGCAUUUCGGUAAUGAAUCAUCUCGCUCGAAACUUUUAUGUGCAAUCUGCAGCACUGAUGUGAAGAAAACGUCAAGUCCGAUUCGGUUUAAGAGGAAACAUGCAUAUUAUGUCUGUAUAAAAUGCAUUACCCAACUCCCUGUGGCCAAAACGGUCAAGACAGAGGAGAGGUUCGGCAGUUAAGUGUCUGUUUACGGGGAAAAUUUUCAGAGGAUGAGCUUUCCUUCUUACCCGUCUUAACAACAUUGAGAGAGGAAGGAGAGAGAGUCUGCUUAUCCUCCAGGGGACCCUGGGUAAAAGGUGGGGGGACACCCUUGAAGAUCCCACCCCUUCAUCUGAUGCCAAUUAGCUUACAAUGGAUGCAUUUGGACUGUAGGAGGAAACCCAAGCUCCUGGAGGAAACCCCUGAAGCACAGUGGAGAACAAGCCGACUCUAUGCACAUGGAGCAGACGCAGGAACUGAACCCCCAAAACCCAGUGAGACAAACACACUAACCUUUAAGCCAUCAUGCCCCUCCACACAGUGCUAACCUAGUGAAACUAUACUCACUGGUGCAUCUCUAGACUUUUUGUUAUGUAUGCUAGUAUGAGUUAUCGCUUAAAAAUACACCAAAACCAGUAGAGCAGGCUUGAAGUUGGUUGAAGUUGAAACACUUCAAGAAGCAUAUCAAGAGUGAAAAAUGUAAAGUAUUAAACAAUCAAUGUGUAAAAGGAGUACAUUAAAAGUGUUUUUUCUAUACAUUAUAUUGCAAUCACAUGAAAAUCCACCAUGUAGCCGAGUUUCUGCAAGUGCGCUCACGCUCCUUAAAAAUGAAAUGGUAGAAAUCAGUUCUGUGUGAUUUAAAUAAUUUCAUAAAAACAAAACUUAUCACGAGAAGUGAAACAAACCGAGAUCAGAAUAUAGAUAUAACAAAACAAGACUUGGGAAAGACUUUAGGAUCUAUACGCUAACAUUAGAGGAAACACAAUCCAAAAAGUGAACUCAAAAACUAGCAAAGAUUAUACUCAACAUGGCACGAAAUCCCUAAAGAAAGCAGUCAAACAACAAAUAACAAAAAAAAAGAUGAAAACAACAGCAAGGUAAACCACGUAACAUACCUCACUACGAAGUAGCAGCAAACUCACAAACGCUAAACCAUGUGCUUAUAUAGUCCAUAACCAGUAAGUGCAAGCAAAAUUAGAACAGGAAGUGAACAACAGAUCUAGAACUCCCUUGAUAUUGACAUCUGCUGGCGAGGAGGUUUACAGCCCCGGGGUGUUAUGACAAGAGGAAUUCAUUUUCACAUUUUCUAAUCUCUUCCCAAACAUGCAGAAACACAAACCAGCAGGUCAAUACCGGACGACGCAUGAAUAAUUGUUAGGGAGAAAAGUAAGAGGAAUAAUCCAGAGCAUCAGAUAUAUCUAGUAAAACCAUCUUAAGAUAGAAAACCCUGAGCAAUGAGAAAAAAUGAGGAACAUCAAGUCCAUCUACAAACCUACAUGCAAAAUCUGUUAAAUGUAAUUAAGCAUAGAGAACAAGAGAGUCAUGAUUAAGAACAAAGACGAAGCAUAAAGAUGGAACUUUCUGGCCGUCCAGAGAUUUAUAAUCAGGAGCGUCUGGUCACUAGUGCAGAAGCUUGACCGCUGCAUUAUUCCAAAAGUUCAGUCUGACAAAACAGUCUGACAUAUUUCCGAGCCAAACUGGAAGUCUGUAUGUUUACAAGGUAGGAAAUGCACAAGCAGAACAUAAAGCAUUCAGUAACAGCAACAGUGUCAACGUCUGACUUGUACAUCACCUCGUCACCUAAUGAAAGCUCGCUUUGGAGUAAACUCGCCUCCGGGAUCGCAACAACAUGCUGUCAAGAGACAGCCACUUUCACCUGGCGACAUGUAAACUGUAUGCUGUUUCACACUCUAUUGAUUUCUAAGGCAUUAGUGUUUCAACAGCCGAGCUGUCUAUGUGUGGAGCAUCUGCUAUGUUUACUUAUGAUAUGUUUCUCCCAUGAUCAUGUACCAGAUUUUAAUACAUAUAUACAGAUUUUGACUUGUUUCUGUUCACAAGGCACACAGAUAUGAACUUGAACAGGGCUGACAUGUUAAUAAGAAAAUCUGGGAUUUACUUGCAGGCCUUGCACUUGAAUUUUUGCAUAUCCCAUUUCCCCACAUCCACACACCCUACCCCUCUUUAAAUUACAUAAAAAUGUAAUUUAAACAAUGAAAGCACAAAAUAUUCCUGUUGGAGCACAAAAAAAGCAAACAUUUUGUUGGCUGUAAUUACAGUCAUUCUUCUGGGAUAUCGCUCAGCCUUGUACAUCUGAAUGCUGAUAUUUUUGCUCUGUCUUCUUGGCAAGAUCGCUGAGUAUUUAUCAGCUUGAAUGGAGAACAUUGGUGAACAGAAACUUUCAAGUAUUAUCAAAGACUGAGAUGGAUAGGGGUCUGGAUCCAGGUUUUUGGUGUUGAACCGCUUGGGUCGAGGUUUGGCAGCACGCUUAGGGUCGCGGUUCUGAACCUCUACCUCAGUCUCGAGUGGACGCGGUCAUCUCAAAUGGUUCCAGUCAUCGUGCUCUCGGCCCUGAUUAGUUUCCGCAUCCCUGCUGAUGAAAAGCAUGCCCACAUCAUGAUGCUACCACCCCCAUGCUUUAUUGCUACAAUGCUAUUUUCAGAACUUUUCAGAAGAUAAUAAAAAUGGAAUACGUCUGUUGUGCACUGUUAAUGAAUGUUUUCACUCUGGAGCAGCAUUACCUUAAAUUCACACCGGACACAUUGCAUAAGCUUACAGUGGCCAUCUGUCCAAUUCAUUUCACAUGCUUUCCAUCUGCGCACCCGAUGUGACAGCUCACUUAAUUAUCAUUAAGGAAACUAACACUCAGGCAUACAACAAUGUCUGUGAAGCAUGAGGGAUGGGGACAGUCGAUGGUGGACCAGCUGUAUUUACAACACAGAUCACUUAAAAAGACAGAAAACAGUGGGAUGGAGAAUAAACCGCAUAUUUGUGUGUAUUCUGUUUACCCAUAAGUAUCAUUUCCAUACUUUGCUCCACAGCUUCAAGCUGUACAAAUACAGCAUUAUAUAAUUAGGAUUUUAAUAAGAUUUCCAUUAUAGAAAAAGAAAGAGUGGGCAUUCGAUACAUUGUUAUGGACCCUGAUAGACAGCACAUGGGCUCUGGAUUUACGUUUUAGGCAUCUCAGAGAUCCCUCAUGGAUUAAAUGCUGGUUCAUAUGGAUGUGUUAUCUGCUGAGUGUGUGACGCACGUCUAAGUCAUUUGCGGUGGCCUUUAACGUAAUG